UACGAAGGGGGCUAGCGUUGCUCGGAAUUACUGGGCGUAAAGGGCGCGUAGGCGGAUACUUAAGUCGGGGUGAAAGCCCAGGGCUCAACCCUGGAAUAGCCUUCGAUACUGGGUAUCUUGAGUUCGGGAGAGGUGAGUGGAACUCCGAGUGUAGAGGUGAAAUUCGUAGAUAUUCGGAAGAAACACCAGUGGCGAAGGCGACUCACUGGCCCGAUACUGACGCUGAGGCGCGAAAGCGUGGGGAGCAAACAGGG
rnacentral:rRNA from 1 species